rnacentral:rRNA from 1 species
AUGGCCUGCUACCCUUACAACCCGCUCCCCCACCUUCCUCCUGGCACUACGAUCAUCCCCCCUGGCCCUCUCCAUGCUUGCCGUGGAUAUGUGGUUCUUGGAGCUGACCUCCCGAUGGUCUACGAUGAGUGGGCAAUUGCCACGCUCAUCCCCGAGGUAUCUGCCGAGGAUUUUCAUGGUGCCAUUGCUCUGAUCACGAACUACCUGGAGGGACAUGGAUGGCGCAUCAACUACACAUCCCGCUAUGGUAUGGGUACUGCUUUGGUUCAGUUUACAACUGCCUGUUCGUGUGAUACUGCUGUCAGUCUUAGUCCGUUUCAGAUUGGGGACUCUGUUCUUAGAAUUAGCAAACAAGAUAGAGGUCUUAAUUAUCGAAGCAUUACUUUCACACAUGAUGUUUGGAUCCUACUUAUGAACUAUCCAUUAGAAUGAUGGGAUGUUGGGGUGAUUAGCCGCACUGUUUCACCAUAUGGUCGCUUUCUGAUCUGGAACAAAGAUCCAAGGGACAAAGCAAGGGUUAUUGUUAAGCUCAGGGUCAUGAAUGUGACAAUUCCAGUUAGCUUAGUAGUACUGAGGAAUCUUGAUGAUGUUGGCUAUGGUGAUUCAUGGACUUGCCCAACUUAUAUUUUGUCGAGGGAUCUGAUUGGUCAGCAAGGGGGUGAUGAGGAUCCAUUGCCACCUGAUGGUGGAAAUCCUCACCCCUUCCUCAUGUUCAUGGAGGUUUUUGGCAUGAUGAGGUUUUAG